rnacentral:ribozyme from 1 species
GAAAGAAAGAGACAAAAAGAAGAGAAUGAGAAAGCCUGAACGUCUUCGUUCUCCCCCAUUCCCCCGACUUACUCACUCGAUUCUUUUUUCUUUCCUUCGUUUGUUUUUCUUUUGUUUU